AGAGUUUGAUCCUGGCUCAGGACGAACGCUGGCGGUGUGCUUCACACAUGCAAGUCGAACGGAGUAGCAAUACUCAGUGGCGGACGGGUGAGUAACACGUGGGAAUCUACCAUUAGGUGGGGAAUAACAGGCCGAAAGGACUGCUAAUGCCGCAUAUGUAGGCAUCUCGACAGAGAUGUUUAUGAAAGGAGUAAUCCGCCUUUUGAUGAGCCCGCGUCCGAUUAGCUAGUUGGUAGGGUAAAAGCCUACCAAGGCGACGAUCGGUAGGUGGUCUGAGAGGAUGAUCACCCACAAUGUGACUGAGACACGGCCCAUACUCCUACGGGAGGCAGCAGUGGGGAAUUUUACGCAAUGGGGGAAACCCUGACGUAGCGACACCGCGUGAGCGAAGAAGCCCUUUGGGGUGUAAAGCUCUGUCAACAGGAACGAAACAAAUGACGGUACCUGUGGAGGAAGCAUCGGCUAACUACGUGCCAGCAGCCGCGGUAAGACGUAGGAUGCAAGCGUUGUCCGGAUUUAUUGGGCGUAAAGAGUUCGUAGGCGGUUUGUUAAGUCUGAUGUUAAAGACCGGGGCUCAACCUCGGAAAUGCAUUGGAUACUGGCAGACUGGAGUGCAGUAGAGGCUAGUGGAAUUCCCAGUGUAGCGGUGAAAUGCGUAGA
rnacentral:rRNA from 1 species